rnacentral:rRNA from 1 species
UACAGAGGUCUCAAGCGUUGUUCGGAUUCAUUGGGCGUAAAGGGUGCGUAGGCGCCGCGGUAAGUCGGGUGUGAAAUCUCGGAGCUUAACUCCGAAACUGCAUUCGAUACUGCCGUGCUUGAGGACUGGAGAGGAGACUGGAAUUUACGGUGUAGCGGUGAAAUGCGUAGAUAUCGUAAGGAAGACCAGUGGCGAAGGCGGGUCUCUGGACAGUUCCUGACGCUGAGGCACGAAGGUCAGGGGAGCAAACGGG